GGCCCUGAUUCUCGUGGGCGGGUCUGCAGCGUGUCAAGGGGCUUUAAGAUGUAGACCAGCGUGUUAUUCUUGAAUAAAGCAUGAGCUGUGGAAGUCUAGCCAGGGGCACUGCCCCUUCCCAGAUUCACCACUAAAACUGGUGACUGAAAGCCUAAGAUUGCUCCUGUUGGAAAAGUGCCGUCGAGAUGGCUGGAUGACUAGCUCAUGGUUCCUGCCACUUCAGGCUAUGUAUGACAGUACAUUCUCUUGGGCCACUAUGGAUUUUGCUGACAUAGUAUGCCCUCUAUCUGAUGUUGGGCAGAUUCUAGGAACUUCCUGCAUUAGCCAGUGUGAGCAGCUGUCAACUUACUGGAGAAAACAACUGCCUUGAAAUUUGGGGGAGCUUAAUUAUGAUUUGUCUUUCACUUGACUUUUGUCUCAAAUAAGUACUUGGUUUUAUUAAAAGGAUCCCAAUAAAAUAUAUUAAAGGAAAUAAA